rnacentral:rRNA from 1 species
CCAGCAGCCGCGGUAAUCCAGCUCCAAUAGCGUAUAUUAAAGUUGUUGCAGUUAAAAGCUCGUAGUUGAAUUUCGGGAUCAAUACGUCGGUCGUGCUUCGGUACGUACUAACGUCAUUGAUUUCUCCCUUCUGACGAAUCGUGAUGUCAUUAAUUUGGUGUUACGGGGAGUUAGGACUGUUACUUUGAAAAAAUUAGAGUGUUUAAAGCAAGCAAUCGCUCGAAUACAUUAGCAUGGAAUAAUGAAAUAGGACGUUCGAACCUAUUUUGUUGGUUUCUAGGGAUCGACGUAAUGAUUAAUAGGGAUAUUGGGGGGCAUUAGUAUUCAAUUGUCAGAGGUGAAAUUCUUGGAUUUAUUGAAGACUAACUACUGCGAAAGCAUUUGCCAAGGAUGUUUUCAUUAAUCAAGAACGAAAGUUAGGGGGAUCGAAGACGAUCAGAUACCGUCGUAGUCUUAACCAUAAACUAUGCCGACUAGGGAUCGGAUGAUGUUAAUUUUAUAAUGACUCAUUCGGCGCCUUACG